rnacentral:lncRNA from 1 species
GAGGAACGCUGUUGUGUUUAAUUGUAGGGAGGGAGGUAGAGGAAUGAGAGCGAUACUACCCUUCUUCAUGGGUUCUCUUCAUCGUUAGCCCACCGGGGCUGCAGAGAGAGUUUGAUGUGGUGUAGAGUAAAAGGGACUCCUGAAUGAACCGGGUCCAAGGUCCAUACUGUUGGAGAAUCACUUCAACAUGAGGCAAUAUUAGGACUGAAAUGGGGAAAAACAGUUGAGAUCAUCCACAUUCCAACUAAAUCCUGGCCCCUGGGUUUCCACCCUCCCUGGAUGGAAAGUGUAUGUGAGCAGUGUUGUUUCUGCCUGAGAAAGAGGAUGAAGUCCUCAACCAACCUGGUCUCAGUGCAUGUCGUA